CCAUCUUCCUUAUUUAGUAAUUGGCAGUGAGAAAUGAGCCAACUGGGUGAUGAAGAUCAGGCGGUCCUCCAUCGUCCUCCUCAUUUGGUAAUUGGCAGUGAGAAAUGAGCUAACUGCGUGAUGAAGAUCAAACGGUCCUCCAUCGUCCUUAUUUGGUAAUUAGCAUUCAGAAAUGAGCCAGCCGGGUGAUGAAGAUCGACGGUCCUCUAUCGUCCUCCUCAUUUGGUAAUUGACAGUGAGAAACGAGAACCCCGUCAGUGUCACGUGCUUAUUGGCUGCUACAAAUAAAUAUCUGAUAAGUUGGUUCCACCUCAGCAUUAGCUUUUUGAUACUUUUCAAAGAAUAUAACGCUAUAAAAACGCCGAGGGCGUGUACAGGGAGUGUGCUUCCCUCAGUGAUUGGUUCUGAGUUAAAAGAUAGUGAAGAGAUAAAACCAGGUUUUUUUAGAGAUGGCUUCAGUGCAGACGACAAUGACGACAAUUGUCUGUAAGAAUGGUAACCAUGGUGCUCCUGCCAAGUUUCCAAGUACUUCCUUCUUACCUGGGUUUGAUAUGGUUGGUCAUGUUUCCAGUGCAUGCAAAAAGGAAAUGUGCCUUUCCAUGUCCUCAGUUGCUAGAGCCACAUUGACGUUUGAUCCCCCAACAACCAAUUCAGAGAGAACCAAACAAAGAAAGCACACUGUUGAUCCUGGUUCUCCUGAUUUUCUACCACUUCCAUCCUUUGAGCAAUGUUUUCCCAAGAGCUCCAAGGAAUAUAGGGAAGUUGUUCACAAACAAACUGGCCAUGUACUUAAAGUUCCCUUUCGACGGGUUCACUUGAGUGGGGAUGAACCAGAUUUUGACACCUAUGACACCAGUGGUCAGCAAAACAUCAGCCCGCAUGUUGGACUUCCUAAACUGCGAAAGGACUGGAUUGACAGGCGAGAGAAGUUAGGAGGACCAAGAUACACUCAAAUGUACUAUGCCAAGCAGGGAAUCAUAACUGAGGAAAUGUUGUAUUGUGCCAGUCGUGAAAAGCUUGACCCAGAAUUUGUGAGGUCAGAGGUUGCUCGUGGUCGAGCAAUCAUCCCUUCCAACAAGAAACAUUUGGAACUGGAACCAAUGAUAGUUGGAAGAAACUUUUUGGUCAAAGUUAAUGCAAAUAUUGGAAACUCGGCUGUAGCAAGCUCUAUUGAAGAAGAAGUUUAUAAGGUUCAAUGGGCAACUAUGUGGGGUGCCGACACUGUCAUGGAUCUGUCUACUGGUCGCCACAUUCAUGAGACCCGUGAGUGGAUUCUUCGUAACUCCUCUGUACCAGUGGGAACUGUGCCCAUUUAUCAGGCACUGGAAAAGGUGAAUGGCAUUGCUGAAAAUCUCAGCUGGGAAGUCUUCAAAGACACCCUGAUUGAACAAGCUGAGCAAGGGGUAGAUUAUUUCACAAUUCAUGCUGGAGUUCUGUUGCGAUAUAUCCCUUUAACAGCAAAGCGUAUGACCGGAAUUGUUUCCCGGGGAGGAUCUAUUCAUGCAAAGUGGUGCUUAGCUUAUCACAAGGAGAACUUUGCUUAUGAGCACUGGGAUGAAAUACUUGACAUUUGUAAUCAGUAUGAUGUGGCCCUAUCUAUAGGUGAUGGGCUGAGACCUGGGUCCAUUUAUGAUGCCAAUGACACUGCACAGUUUGCUGAGCUUUUAACUCAAGGGGAACUGACCCGUAGAGCAUGGGAAAAAGAUGUGCAGGUGAUGAAUGAGGGACCUGGACAUAUUCCAAUGCACAAGAUCCCUGAAAACAUGCAAAAGCAGCUGGAAUGGUGCAAUGAAGCACCUUUUUAUACUCUCGGUCCACUAACAACAGAUAUAGCUCCUGGUUAUGAUCACAUCACCUCUGCCAUUGGGGCUGCCAACAUAGGGGCUCUUGGCACUGCUCUUCUGUGUUAUGUAACACCAAAAGAACAUCUUGGAUUGCCAAAUAGGGAUGAUGUGAAGGCUGGGGUUAUAGCGUAUAAGAUAGCUGCUCAUGCAGCAGAUUUAGCAAAAGGUCACCCACAUGCUCAGGCCUGGGAUGAUGCUUUAAGCAAGGCAAGAUUCGAAUUCCGAUGGAUGGACCAGUUUGCUUUAUCGUUGGAUCCCAUGACUGCAAUGUCCUUCCACGAUGAAACCCUGCCAUCAGAGGGUGCAAAAGUGGCACAUUUUUGCUCAAUGUGUGGACCUAAGUUCUGCUCUAUGAAGAUUACUGAGGAUGUGCGGAAGUAUGCAGAGGAGCAUGGUUAUGGGAGCGCUGAGGAAGCUAUGCAGCAAGGUAUGGAUGCAAUGAGUGCUGAGUUCCUGGCUGCCAAGAAAACUGUUAGCGGGGAACAACAUGGUGAAGUUGGUGGCGAAAUCUAUUUGCCAGCAAGUUAUGUGAAGUCCUCUGAGAGGUGAAGGACCAUAUAGCCGGAGUUGGUUUCAGACUGUUAGAGUUAGAAGCUGUAUUGGCAUUAUAAUAACAGUCUGUACUGUCAGACUGUAGGGGUGCCUGCAUCUGCUUUAGAGCUGGCUGAUUGGCCAGAAUGCUGGCAGAUGAGGCUGAGAAAGUCCCUUUGAACCUGAACAGGAUAAUGCCUGCGUAGGGAGUGUGCACUUUCUUUUGCUCUUUUUCUGUGUUUGAGCAGGGAAGGAGGUGCCAUUUAUGGUUUGGGCAAGCUGAUCCGCGUGGGCACCCUCAGCUUCAUAUCCAGGCUUAUCACACUCCAAAGCCCAGGAUGCAACUAAACUAGCCCACUUAUAUUUCUUAUAUGCACUGCACAUACCAAGUUUUGAAAACUUCAUCUAUGAUACAAUAAGUCCUAUAACAAAUCAUUAAAUAUCAAAAUAUCUUGGGAAUAAUAAAAGAAAUGAGGAGAAACUAUUGAAGAAUCUGAAAAGACUAAUAAUUAAAAUUGUCGAUUUUUAAGAGGUUAUACAAAAAUCAUUCUCAACUCAAGAGUUAACCUUUGUGGUUAACAAAUUAGGGUUAGAUAAAAUUAUCCUUGUAUGCAAAUUGACUAUUGACUCAUUUUGAUACAGAUCAAAAUCUUCAUACUUCUUGUCAUUGCACGUACCUUUUAUCUAUUGUUGAUUUUGAUGAUUUGAAGGGACUUUUAUGCAUAAAAUGAAAUAUAUGUAUAUAUAUUGUUGAUAUUUAUCUUUUUUAUCACUUAUAUUGUAGAGAUUUACAUGUGUUUGCAUUGACAAUAGGGAUGCCAUGAAUAUGAGUAUAACCGUUUGCCGUUAUAAGGUUUAUUUUAGAUUCAGAUUUAAUUGAAUUUUUGGUUGAUUUGUGUGAAUAAUAUUGUGAUUGGUAAGGGUUUGAAUCAGAGUAAUAGGGAAAUUGGGCAAAAAAUUUGUUCAUCUUCGUGUUAUUUCUAGUAUACGUGAUUUGAAGUAGUACGUGUGAUUUGCAACUAACACUAACAUGCAUGUCAUGCAUAUUAGGAUCAAAUGAAGAUGAGGUUAAAUAAAAUUUGUCACAGAUGAGCACAUAGUUGGCCAUUACGAAAUUUCACAGUGUUAGUUAAUAGGUAUGUACAAUGCACAUAGUGGGAGUAAUUAAAAUUUUAUCAUGCAUGAAAUACAUGUAUUGUAUCACACAUAGUAGGUGUGAGACCUAUGAUUUAUAGGUUUGUGUAAUAUAGGGUAAUUGAAAGUUUGCCAUAUUGGAGAUAAUUAAAUCUUGUCAUAUGUGGAUUAUAGGUUUGUGAAAUACACAUAACUGGGUAUGCAUGCGCUAUGCAGUAUGCGUGAAAUCUCAAGUUAAAUGAUUCUAUUUUUAGCUAUGCAUGUCUGGUGUACAGAGUGUGCUUAAAUUUCAGGUCAAAUUUGGGUAUGCAUGCUCUAUACAGUAUGCGUGAAAUCUCAAGUUAAAUGAUUCUAUUUUUAGCUAUGCAUGUCUGAUGUACACAAUGUGCUUAAAUUUCAGGUCAAACGAAUUUUGAUCAAUUUUUUGUUUAAUAUUUUGCAUGCAUAUUGGAUUAUGCUUAAAUAUUUUGAAAAUUAACCUAAAUGUUCAAUUCUUUAUUAUAAAAUAUAAGAGAUAUAAUCCUAUAUUUAUAUAGAAAUUUAGGGUAUCAUAAAUACAAAUAAAUCCCUCGACCCUUAGUUGAGAGGCUACAGCUUGCAAAGUCUCUUGGCUAACCCUGUAUUCGUGCAAUCUUAGUGAUUAUCCAAAUCAACUUUUCAAAGAUGAUUGUUUUCUGUGAUGUUGUCUUACAAUUACAAGCGAGGGAUGAUAACACAAUGGAUCAUUGGAUCAAGUGAUUGUAGGGUCUUCAAUGUGAAGUUAAUCAAGUCUUUAUUAUUUGGUUGACCAUUAGAUUUUCACGAGGAGAACUGUGAGCCUUCUAGGACGCAGAUGGCCUUGCUUCUUUUUUGUUCUUUUGUUGGGUUUGUCAUGAUUGAUAACAAUUGUAUAUGUAUUGUAUUUAUUUCUAUUACGUAUAUUUUGGAAAUGUAGACUAAUAGUGUUGUUGUGCUA